rnacentral:rRNA from 1 species
AGUGAACGCUGGCGGUAGGCCUAACACAUGCAAGUCGAACGGCAGCACAGUAAGAGCUUGCUCUUACGGGUGGCGAGUGGCGGACGGGUGAGGAAUACAUCGGAAUCUACUUUUUCGUGGGGGAUAACGUAGGGACACUUACGCUAAUGCCGCAUACGACCUACGGGUUAAAGCAGGGGAUCUUCGGACCUUGCGCGAUUGAAUGAGCCGAUGUCGGAUUAGCUAGUUGGCGAGGUAAAGGCCCACCAAGGCGACGAUCCGUAGCUGACCUGAGAGGAGGAGCGGCCAAACUGGAACUGAGAAGAGGACCAGACGCAGACGGGAGGCAGGAGGAGGGAAUGUGACGCAAGGGGCGAAAGCCUGACGGCGCAACGCCGCGGGAGUGAAGAAGGUCUUCGGAUCGUAAAACUCUGUGAGGAGGGAAGAAAAUAAGGGUAAGUAACUGUGCACAUCGUGACGGGACCAAAGCAGAAAGCCACGGAGAACUACGU